GGUUACUGCUAUCGGUGUUCGCGUAAGCCAUGCGAGUCAUAUGUUCUUCGGAACAUGGCGUACUGCUCAGUAACACGUGGAUAACCUGCCCUUGGGUCCGGCAUAACCCCGGGAAACUGGGGAUAAUUCCGGAUAACGCACAUAUGCUGGAAUGCUUUAUGCGUCAAAUGGAUUCGUCCGCCCAAGGAUGGGUCUGCGGCCUAUCAGGUAGUAGUGGGUGUAAUGUACCUACUAGCCCACGACGGGUACGGGUUGUGAGAGCAAGAGCCCGGAGAUGGAUUCUGAGACAUGAAUCCAGGCCCUACGGGGCGCAGCAGGCGCGAAAACUUUGCAAUGCGGGAAACCGUGAUAAGGGGACACCGAGUGCCAGCAUCAUAUGCUGGCUGUCCGGGUGUGUAAAAUACACCUGUUAGCAAGGGCCGGGCAAGACCGGUGCCAGCCGCCGCGGUAACACCGGCGGCCCGAGUGGUGAUCGUGAUUAUUGGGUCUAAAGGGUCCGUAGCCGGUUUGGUCAGUCCUCCGGGAAAUCUGACGGCUUAACCGUUAGGCUUUCGGGGGAUACUGCCAGACUUGGAACCGGGAGAGGUAAGAGGUACUACAGGGGUAGGAGUGAAAUCUUGUAAUCCCUGUGGGACCACCUGUGGCGAAGGCGUCUUACCAGAACGGGUUCGACGGUGAGGGACGAAAGCGGGGGGCACGAACCGGAUUAGAUACCCGGGUAGUCCCAGCCGUAAACGAUGCUCGCUAGGUGUCAGGCAUGGCGCGACCGUGUCUGGUGCCGCAGGGAAGCCGUGAAGCGAGCCACCUGGGAAGUACGGCCGCAAGGCUGAAACUUAA
rnacentral:rRNA from 1 species